UCCUAGCUUGCUAGGUGAGAGUGGCGGACGGGUGAGUAACACGUGGAAUCUGCCUUUUGGUUCGGGAUAACCGCGGGAAACUGCGGCUAAUACCGAAUGCCCUCGAGAGAGGAAAGAUUUAUCGCCAGAAGAGGAGCCCGCGUCCGAUUAGGUAGUUGGUGGGGUAAAGGCCUACCAAGCCGACGAUCGGUAGCUGGUCUGAGAGGAUGAUCAGCCACACUGGGGACUGAGAUACGGCCCAGACUCCUACGGGAGGCAGCAGUGGGGAAUAUUGGACAAUGGGGGCAACCCUGAUCCAGCAAUGCCGCGUGAGUGAUGAAGGCCUUAGGGUUGUAAAGCUCUUUUGCCAGGGAAGAUGAUGACUGUACCUGGAGAAUAAGCCCCGGCUAACUUCGUG
rnacentral:rRNA from 1 species